AUGAUUGUGAAGGUAAUAGAUGGCAGAUGGGAAGUGAUCUACUUUGUUAGCGAGCACAACCAUCCGUUGGUUGACAAGCCAUGUUUGACUAAGUAUUUGCGAUCACACCAAGGGAUCCCGCCAGAAGAAAGGGCCUUCCUUACUCAUCUUCAUAACUGCAAUUUAACUACAGGUCGUAUGAUGCACAUCAUGUCAGAUUUCUAUGGGACAGAAAUCAUUGUACCUUAUGGCACUAAGCACAUUACAAACCUCAAGAUGCUCUUGAACAAGGAUGAUACAAAAGAAGGGGAUAUGAUAGAGACGGUUGCUUACUUUAAAGAUCAGCAGAGAGAGGAUCCAGAUUUUUUUACAAGAUAA
rnacentral:rRNA from 1 species